rnacentral:rRNA from 1 species
AACGAACGCUGGCGGCAGGCUUAACACAUGCAAGUCGAACGGGCGUAGCAAUACGUCAGUGGCAGACGGGUGAGUAACACGUGGGAACCUUCCUAGGGGUACGGAACAACUCAGGGAAACUUGAGCUAAUACCGUAUACGUCCGUGAGGAGAAAGAUUUAUCGCCCUUAGACGGGCCCGCGUCGGAUUAGCUAGUUGGUGGGUAACGGCCUACCAAGGCGACGAUCCGUAGCUGAUCUGAGAGGAUGAUCAGCCACACUGGGACUGAGACACGGCCCAGACUCCUACGGGAGGCAGCAGUGGGGAAUCUUGGACAAUGGGCGCAAGCCUGAUCCAGCCAUGCCGCGUGAGUGAAGAAGGCCUUCGGUUGUAAGCUCUUUGUCUAGGGACGAGUAAUGACGGUACCUGAAGAAUAAGACCCGGCGAAACUUCGUGCCAGCAGCCGCGGUAAU